rnacentral:tRNA from 1 species
GGAAGAGUGGUGUACAAGGUGUGCACGCUAGUCUGAAAAACUAGAGGCGCAGGUUCGAUUCCUGCCUGUUCCACCA